UACGUAGGGUGCAAGCGUUAAUCGGAAUACUGGGCGUAAAGCGUGCGCAGGCGGUUCGUUAAGACAGAUGUGAAAUCCCCGGGCUUAACCUGGGAACUGCAUUUGUGACUGGCGGGCUAGAGUAUGGCAGAGGGGGGUAGAAUUCCACGUGUAGCAGUGAAAUGCGCAGAUAUCAGGAGGAACACCGGUGGCGAAGGCAGCCCCCUGGGCCAAUACUGACGCUCAUGCACGAAAGCGUGGGGAGC
rnacentral:rRNA from 1 species